GAGAUGGAAGAGAGGAACAGAG
rnacentral:siRNA from 1 species